AUGCCCCGCCCCCAGCCCACCUGGUCCCUCCCCCUGCCUGCGCCCCAUCCAGCGGCCUCUGCCCGAUCGAUCCCCGCCCCCACCCUCAGGGAGGGUCCAUCUCCCCAUGCCCCGCCCCCGGCCCAGCUGGUCCCUCCCCCUGCCUGCGCGCCCCCCAGCGGCCUCUGCCCGAUCCCCGCCCCCAGCUCCUCUGGCCCCACCCCCGCCCCGCCCCCUCUCCUGUACCCUGUCCCAUCUGCUCAGGUCCUUCCCCCGUUCACCCCCUCCCCCCCCCGCAGUGUUCUCCCGGUCCCCACCUCCAGCUCUCCCGGUCCCUUCCCCGCGUCUGCACCCGCCCGGCCUGGCGCCCUCUCCCCUGUUUCCCCGACCCGCCUUCCUUCCACUGUUCCCCGCCCCCAGCUCCUCUUGGCCCUUCCUCUUGUCUGCCCCGGCUCCCCCUCCCCCGUACCCGCCCCACGCUCCGGUGGUCCCUGCCGCGUGUCUGCACCCCGCUCGUUCCCUGCUCCCCGGGCCCUUCUACUCCCGUCCAGACCUUGCCCCGCCCCUUUCUCCCCAGGCAUCCUCCUUGCUUCCGGGCUCCUUCCCUUUCCUCUCCCUAAGUGGCUCCGCAGACCCUUUUCUGCCCUGCCUCCAAGAGGCCUCCCCCCAUUUCCUAGAGUCCCUGCCCCCAGAUCCGGACUCUCUCCUCUCCCCGAAGAGACCCGGGUCCUUCCCUCCAUGCCCUGCUCUUCCCCUCGGUUCCUUCCCUCCAGCACGGGAGCCCAGUCUCCCUGGCCGCCCUCCUCCCCGUCCUUCCCCAGGCUCCCCCAUCCCCAGCUGGCCUGCAUCUCUGAGCGCCUGGCCCAGCAUCCCCUGCCUGUGUUAGGGAGCCUUCUCCACAUUCCCUCUUCCCCCCAUCUCCCUUCUGGUUUCCAUGGGGCAGAGCUUCUCCUGAAAGCUCACCCCCCUUCCCUUCUGUCUUCCCCACACCUUCCUUUCCUCCCACCAGGGCCCCGCAGGCGCAGAGAUGACCCCCAUAGAUUCUGCCUCCUUUCUCUGAACUCUGCCUUGGGUCUUUGA
rnacentral:lncRNA from 1 species